rnacentral:rRNA from 1 species
AUCUCUCGAAUCUGCGAACGGCUCCGCAAACCGGUUGUAAUUCAUUGUACGUCUAGCCCGGCGUCGGGCUCCUGCCCUCCGGGGUAGGGGCUGGAUCCGGGCACCGCUUAUAUGGAUAUCCCUGGUAAUUCUGGGGCUAAUACAUGGCAUAAACACUGAACUGGCCCGGUCCCGGGGGCGUAGGCUUCGGCCGAAACCAUCAACCCGGGGUAUCCCGGGCCAGGGACGUGCGAGUCUUCCAACCAAGUUCGGCUUGGGGUCUCUUCUAACCUUCGGGACGGAACGCACGUCUGAACCUGCUCCCGUCUCGUGCGGGACCGGUUCCGGGCACCGAGCUUUCUUCUGGUUGCGGGUUCAGGUUAACCCCUGGGUUCGCCUCUGGGGAUUGCGGAGUCCUUGUACCGGGCAGGUGGGUACUGCGGCUUCCGACCUAUCAACUAGAAUGCGGUUAAAUGGGCUGCAAUGGUCACAACGGGUACAGAGGAUUAGGGUUCGAUCCUGGAGAGUGGGCCUGAGAGAUC